rnacentral:rRNA from 1 species
UCAAAAACAUGGCUUUUUGAUUAUAAUUUUAAGUUUGGCCUGCCCCCUGAAUUUUAAAUGGCCGCGGUAUUUUGACCGUGCUAAGGUAGCAUAAUCAUUAGUUUUUUAAUUAGAAGCUGGAAUGAAUGGUUGGAUGAAAAAAAAUCUGUCUCUAUUUAAAUUUAUUAAAAUUUUAUUUUUUAGUUAAAAAGCUAAAAUAGUUUUAAAAGACGAGAAGACCCUAUAGAGUUUAAUAUUUAAUUGUUUUAUAUUUUAUUAGAAUUUAAAUUUUUAAUUUAAUUAUUUAUUUAGUUGGGGUGAUUGAAAAAUUUAAAUAACUUUUUUUUAUUUGUACCAUUAAUUUAUGAAAAAUUGAUCCAUUUUUUUUGAUUAUAAGAUUUAAUUACCUUAGGGAUAACAGCGUAAUGUUUUCAGAGAGUUCUUAUCGAAGGAAAAGAUUGCGACCUCGAUGUUGGAUUAAAAUUAACUUUUGGUGUAGAAGCUAAAUUGAUGUUGGGUCUGUUCGACCUUUAAAAUUUUACAUGAUCUGA